AGGGUAUGCUGUUCGCAUUUAAGUGGUACGCGAGCUGGGUUUAGACGUGAGACAGUUCGGUCCCUAUCUGCCGUGGGCGCUGGAGAACUGAGGGGGGCUGCUCCUAGUACGAGAGGACCGGAGUGGACGCAUCACUGGUGUUCGGGUUGUCAUGCCAAUGGCACUGCCCGGUAGCUAAAUGCGGAAGAGAUAAGUGCUGAAAGCAUCUAAGCACGAAACUUGCCCCGAGAUGAGUUCUCCCUGAGACUUAAAGUCUCCUGAAGGAACGUUGAAGACGACGACGUUGAUAGGCCGGGUGUGUAAGCGCAGCGAUGCGUUGAGCUAACCGGUACUAAUGAACCGUGAGGCUUAACCUUACAACGCCGAAG
rnacentral:rRNA from 1 species